rnacentral:rRNA from 1 species
GACGAACGCUGGCGGCGUGCUUAACACAUGCAAGUCGAGCGGAGAUAUAUGGAGGAAGUUUUCGGAUGGAGUUUAUAUAUUUUAGCGGCGGACGGGUGAGUAAUGCAUGAGAACCUGCCCUUCAGAGGGGGACAACAGCUGGAAACGGUUGCUAAUACCCCAUAAGCCGAGAGGUAAAAGGAGUAAUCCGCUGAGGGAGGGGCUCAUGUCCUAUCAGCUAGUUGGUAAGGUAACGGCUUACCAAGGCGAAGACGGGUAGCCGGCCUGAGAGGGCGAUCGGCCACACUGGAACUGAGAUACGGUCCAGACUCCGUACGGGAGCAGCAGU